GGAUGCGAUCAUACCAGCACUAACGCACCGGAUCCCAUCAGAACUCCGAAGUCAAGCGGGCUUGGGCGAGAGUAGUACUAGGAUGGGUGACACCCUGGGAAGUCCUCGUGUUGCAUCCC
rnacentral:rRNA from 1 species